AUGGGACGGCCCGCUGGGCUGUUCCCGCCCCUAUGCCCUUUUUUGGGUUUCCGGCCAGAGGCAUGCUGGGAGCGUCACAUGCAAAUUGAGCGUGCACCCAGCGUUCCGCCCUUUCUACGCUGGGCCGGUUAUCGACCCGGCCCAGUGCGCAGGCGCGGGAAAGUUGAACUAAUAAAGUUUGUACGAGUUCAGUGGAGGAGACCGCAAGUUGAGUGGAGGAGGCGGCGGUGGGGCCCCGGACCAGGUGCCUCCAUGGCAGGCUCUGAAGAGCUGGGGCUCCGGGAAGACACGCUGAGGGUCCUAGCUGCCUUCCUUAGGCGUGGUGAGGCUGCCGGGUCUCCUGUUCCAACUCCACCUAGAAGCCCUGCCCAAGAAGAGCCAACAGACUUCCUGAGCCGCCUUCGAAGAUGUCUUCCCUGCUCCCUGGGGCGAGGAGCAGCCCCCUCUGAGUCCCCUCGGCCUUGCUCUCUGCCCAUCCGCCCCUGCUAUGGUUUAGAGCCUGGCCCAGCUACUCCAGACUUCUAUGCUUUGGUGGCCCAGCGGCUGGAACAGCUGGUCCAAGAGCAGCUGAAAUCUCCGCCCAGCCCAGAAUUACAGGGUCCCCCAUCGACAGAGAAGGAAGCCAUACUGCGGAGGCUGGUGGCCCUGCUGGAGGAGGAGGCAGAAGUCAUUAACCAGAAGGUGAUGGGCAUCUGUCCCACUCCUUGGCAAGGACAGGAGUUGCGGAAUGCUGGCCUCGGACCCCGCCCUGCGCAGCAAGCUGGUCCGCCUGUCCUCCGACUCUUUCGCCCGCCUGGUGGAGCUGUUCUGUAGCCGGGAUGACAGCUCUCGCCCAAGCCGAGCAUGCCCCGGGCCCCCGCCUCCUUCCCCGGAGCCCCUGGCCCGCCUGGCCCUAGCCAUGGAGCUGAGCCGGCGCGUGGCCGGGCUGGGGGGCACCCUGGCCGGACUCAGCGUGGAGCACGUGCACAGCUUCACGCCCUGGAUCCAGGCCCACGGGGGCUGGGAGGGCAUCCUGGCUGUUUCACCCGUGGACUUGAACUUGCCAUUGGACUGA
rnacentral:sRNA from 1 species